rnacentral:rRNA from 2 species
GACGUAGGGUCCAAGCGUUAUCCGGAUUUACUGGGCGUAAAGCGCGCGUAGGCGGUCUGUUAAGUGCACAAGUGAAAGCUCCGGGCUCAACUCGGAAAUUGCUUUGCAUACUGGCAGGCUGGAGGGACGCAGAGGUCUGUGGAAUUCCUGGUGUAACGGUGAAAUGUGUUGAUAUCAGGAGGAACACCCAUGGCGAAGGCAGCAGACUGGGCGUUUCCUGACGCUGAGGCGCGAAAGCGUGGGUAGCAAACAGG